UUUGAUUCUGGCUCAGGAUGAACGCUGGCGGCGUGCUUAACACAUGCAAGUCGAACGAAGCACUUAUCUUUGAUUCUUCGGAUGAAGAGGUUUGUGACUGAGUGGCGGACGGGUGAGUAACGCGUGGGUAACCUGCCUCAUACAGGGGGAUAACAGUUAGAAAUGACUGCUAAUACCGCAUAAGACCACAGAGCCGCAUGGCUCAGUGGGAAAAACUCCGGUGGUAUGAGAUGGACCCGCGUCUGAUUAGGUAGUUGGUGGGGUAACGGCCUACCAAGCCAACGAUCAGUAGCCGACCUGAGAGGGUGACCGGCCACAUUGGGACUGAGACACGGCCCAAACUCCUACGGGAGGCAGCAGUGGGGAAUAUUGCACAAUGGGGGAAACCCUGAUGCAGCGACGCC
rnacentral:rRNA from 1 species